AAAGGUUUUGCCUUUGCUAAGUUACUUAAAAGAUAUCUAAGUACUUUAUAUUUAAGUACUUUUACCUCAAAAGGCAAUUAGAGGCCUUGUGGGCCCCUCUUAGGUCUAUGUCUGAAAAUUCACACUUGCUCCUCAUUUAUUUGCCAAGACUUUGGUCCUUGCUAUUUUCAGUGGAUUCUAUCUUCAAAAGUUCCAGCUUUAGGUCUACACUGGGGUAAGGAAAGACAUGGAACUGGAAGAGUUCCUACACCAACUGGUAAAAGUUGUCAGCCGGUGAUGGGGAGCAGGCAGAGCCAAGCAUGAGAAGACUCUGAAAUUUCCAACACAGCCUGAUGUCACAUGACUUUGAAAAUAGACUUUGGUACCAAUAAAAUUAACCUGAUCAAGUUGUGUCAACUGGAAUUCCAAGAUGUGCAGAGUCCAAUUAACAUCCCUAUCCCCGCCAUGGGACCACUCUGGCGUGUCCCGGAGAGGUUUGCCGGUUCCUCAUGUGACAUCAGUAAUUUCACUGGCUAUACUUAGGCAUCAAGUCAUGGAGCUAAACCAAGUUCAGAAGUCAUGCUGCUCUCUUUGUUUUCUGUUUUCCCUGCUCUUUACUAUCCUCCCCUCCCCUUACUCCUCAGGGCCCUAGGCUUUAGAGCCUUGUGCAAAUCAAUUCAGAUAAAUGAAUUGUUGUUAUUUGAAUCUGUUUGUAUAGGAGAUUGGAACUAAAGAGAAAAUGAGAUGUUAGGUUAGUGAUGGUUUCCGUACAGCUGUUUGUUGCUUACCAGCUAGCAUACACAAUGGACAUCUGACUAAGACGAUCAGAUGGGACACUUAGAAUAGCUCAAGGAAAAUGAUUAAUGUGAUACACGGGAGAAUUGCAAGGGAAAACUUUAGCAUUUAGAGUUAGGAAACCUGUGAUCUAGGUACAACGCUGCUACUAACUAGUUGUGGGAUCCAGGGAAAUACCACUUGCUUUUCUGGGCACACGUUUCUUCUUUCUAUUAAAUGUAGGAAAACAGAAUCUCUCAGUACUUCCAGCUUUCAUUCUAGGUGAAUAAAUUUCUAUUUUGAUCCUUUGA